rnacentral:tRNA from 1 species
GCUGUGAUGGCCGAGUGGUUAAGGCUUUGAAAUCCAAUGGGGUUUCUCCGCACAGGUUAGAACCCUGCUCUCAGCG